rnacentral:rRNA from 1 species
AACGAACGCUGGCGGCAUGCCUAACACAUGCAAGUCGAACGAGAUCUUCGGGUCUAGUGGCGCACGGGUGCGUAACGCGUGGGAAUCUGCCCUUUGGUUCGGAAUAACAGUUGGAAACGACUGCUAAUACCGGAUGAUGACGAAAGUCCAAAGAUUUAUCGCCAGAGGAUGAGCCCGCGUAGGAUUAGCUAGUUGGUGAGGUAAAGGCUCACCAAGGCUACGAUCCUUAGCUGGUCUGAGAGGAUGAUCAGCCACACUGGGACUGAGACACGGCCCAGACUCCUACGGGAGGCAGCAGUGGGGAAUAUUGGACAAUGGGCGAAAGCCUGAUCCAGCAAUGCCGCGUGAGUGAUGAAGGCCUUAGGGUUGUAAAGCUCUUUUACCCGGGAUGAUAAUGACCGUACCGGGAGAAUAAGCUCCGGCUAACUCCGUGCCAGCAGCCGCGGUAA